CUUAUAUUGAGCUAAUUUUUAUAAGCUAAGCAAACACCCUCUAAGUCUAUGAGGCAAUUCUUUUUCAAUUUUUACGCCACAUUGGAUUUUCUAGACUCCUUGUUUUGUGGUUGUUGUUGUUUUCUUGUGGGUUAUGUCCAUUUGGUGUCCUUUGAUGAAUUUUCUUAACUUAAAAGAAAAGGAAGAAAAAAAGGUGAUUAUUUAUGGAGGACCUGGAGUUCCCAAAGGGACUAUGAUGCUCAUGCUGUUUUGGAUCUUGUGGACUUCUUAUUUUGCAUUUGUAGCUGUUCCGCAUUUCGGCUGUGCCCAUGUGGUGCCUUUCAAUGAAUUUUACUUCAAAGAAAAAAGAGAUUAUUUGUUGUGGACCUCGAGUCCUGAAAGGGACUGUGAUUUCUUGUCUUUGGCUGUAUAUUAAUACUUUCACAUUCAUGCACAUUAUUUUAAAGCAUCUGUCUUUAUCAGUAAAACCUUGACAGUUGUAUAACCAAUGGGUAUUACUAUUAAAGGAGCCAAUCUUGCAUGUAGCUGACAUGUGACCAACCCUAAGUGUUUCAAAGCUGAUUUGAGUUUAUUGUAAAUAUGGUGGAUUAGAAGGUGACAUUGAAAGAUUAUUUUUGUUAUCUAUGGUAGAAAGGGAAUAGAAAUUGCAAUUGUUGGUUGGUGUUCUUCAAAGUAAAAAUAAGUAGUAAGCAUGCAUGCUGGAUUUAGCUUUGCUUUAUCUGAGUUCUUAUUACUUGAAUUUUGUGUCUCAAGUUCUAAAAUCGAGGUUGAUAGGUUUUGUUAAGAUGUUUUUUAGUUUAUUUCCAAACCUCUGUACCAACCUUUGAUUCCUGACUUCUUUCAAAGCUGUUUUCCUUUAGCACUACUGAUGCUUCUCUGUUCUUUUGGACAAAAAAAAUCUGAAGCACCACACAAAUUUAUGCUAUUUGUUUGAUUUAAAUAUGGAUGUCUUCUAAUAUUUCUAAUGAUUUUUGUAAGUAUUAUUCAUAUCUUGUGCUCUUUUCAUUCUUA
rnacentral:misc_RNA from 1 species